rnacentral:rRNA from 1 species
GUGGGGAAUUUUGGACAAUGGGCGCAAGCCUGAUCCAGCAAUGCCGCGUGCAGGAAGAAGGCCUUCGGGUUGUAAACUGCUUUUGUACGGAACGAAACGGUCCUGGUUAAUACCUGGGGCUAAUGACGGUACCGUAAGAAUAAGCACCGGCUAACUACGUGCCAGCAGCCGCGGUAAUACGUAGGGUGCGAGCGUUAAUCGGAAUUACUGGGCGUAAAGCGUGCGCAGGCGGUGCUGUAAGACAGGCGUGAAAUCCCCGGGCUCAACCUGGGAAUUGCGCUUGUGACUGCAGUGCUGGAGUACGGCAGAGGGGGAUGGAAUUCCGCGUGUAGCAGUGAAAUGCGUAGAUAUGCGGAGGAACACCGAUGGCGAAGGCAAUCCCCUGGGCCUGCACUGACGCUCAUGCACGAAAGCGUGGGGAGCAAACAGGAUUAGAUACCCCGGUAGUCC